GAUACCUCAGUGCAGCAUAAUGAUUAUCAGGAACAUGAUGUCCUAGAAAGAGUGACCCAUAAUCAGACUGAGACUCCACAGAUGGAUAUUGUUAAUAGUAUGUCCCAUAAUCUGAUUGACCUCAAAUGAUGGCCAAUUGGACACCACAGUAACAUUAUUUAUUAUUAUAUUAUUACAAGAAAAAAAAAAAGCAACCAAUUAAUAGCUGUAAAAGAGUGCCUGAGUGCUUGUUACCAGUAUUUAACAACUAAUGUCAUGCUGUAAAAAUGUACUAGGUAAGCAAAUGAGAUUUUUGUGCCUGUGUCAGUCAAAAAUAAGGAGUCCCUCAAUUGAAUGUAUAGUACUGAUUCUGUAGAAUAAUUUGGGAUCUUUACCAUUUUAGCAUUUACAAAUUGACAACAACUUUGCACCUUAUUCAAACCAGCUUGAUAACCUACAUUUGAUGAUUUAGGUUUUAGGUUCUGUUUUUUUUUUUUUUUUUUUUUUUUUUUUUUUUUGGUUAAAGGUUCAAAAUCUGCAAGGGUUAAUCCAUGAAAUAUCACCAUUGUCUCCUUAAUCAAACUCUGUAUCUCAGGAACGUAACCUGAAAUAACUGCAUUAAAAACACUCUGCAGAGAAGUAGCAACAAUGUUAAAUAUUUAAUUAUAUAAUGUGGUGUUUUAUGUUACAUUCCAUGUUUUAAUAACCUUUCUACAAAUGUGUUUAGUGAUUAAACUAUGGUUAUUUAUUUAAAGUCUUAAUAGUUGAAAAUGUGCAAAUGGGAAUGUUCUUCUUUGUACUUUUAUCAUAAUAAAUGUAACAUUUUCCCUUCUA